rnacentral:rRNA from 1 species
GGCGUGCCUAAUACAUGCAAGUCGAGCGAACAGAUAAGGAGCUUGCUCCUUUGACGUUAGCGGCGGACGGGUGAGUAACACGUGGGUAACCUACCUAUAAGACUGGGAUAACUUCGGGAAACCGGAGCUAAUACCGGAUAACAUUUGGAACCGCAUGGUUCUAAAGUGAAAGAUGGUUUUGCUAUCACUUAUAGAUGGACCCGCGCCGUAUUAGCUAGUUGGUAAGGUAACGGCUUACCAAGGCAACGAUACGUAGCCGACCUGAGAGGGUGAUCGGCCACACUGGAACUGAGACACGGUCCAGACUCCUACGGGAGGCAGCAGUAGGGAAUCUUCCGCAAUGGGCGAAAGCCUGACGGAGCAACGCCGCGUGAGUGAUGAAGGGUUUCGGCUCGUAAAACUCUGUUAUUAGGGAAGAACAAACGUGUAAGUAACUAUGCACGUCUUGACGGUACCUAAUCAGAAAGCCACGGCUAACUACGUGCCAGCAGCCGCGGUAAUACGUAGGUGGCAAGCGUUAUCCGGAAUUAUUGGGCGUAAAGCGCGCGUAGGCGGUUUCUUAAGUCUGAUGUGAAAGCCCACGGCUCAACCGUGGAGGGUCAUUGGAAACUGGGAAACUUGAGUGCAGAAGAGGAAAGUGGAAUUCCAUGUGUAGCCGUGAAAUGCGCAGAGAUAUGGAGGAACACCAGUGGCGAAGGCGACUUUCUGGUCUGUAACUGACGCUGAUGUGCGAAAGCGUGGGGAUCAAACAGGAUUAGAUACCCUGGUAGUCCACGCCGUAAACGAUGAGUGCUAAGUGUUAGGGGGUUUCCGCCCCUUAGUGCUGCAGCUAACGCAUUAAGCACUCCGCCUGGGGAGUACGACCGCAAGGUUGAAACUCAAAGGAAUUGACGG